GUACGAGUUUGAUCAGUGGCUCGAGGACGAACGGCUGGCGGCGUGCCUAACACAUGCAAGUCGAGCGAAUGAAGUUCCUUCGGGAACGGAUUUAGCGGCGGACGGGUGAGUAACACGUGGGCAACCUGCCUCAUAGAGGGGAAUAGCCUUCCGAAAGGGAGAUUAAUACCGCAUAAGAUUGUAAUAUCGCAUGAUAUAGCAAUUAAAGGAGUAAUCCGCUAUGAGAUGGACCCGCGUCGCAUUAGCUAGUUGGUGAGGUAACGGCUCACCAAGGCGACGAUGCGUAGCCGACCUGAGAGGGUGAUCGGCCACAUUGGGACUGAGAUACGGCCCAGACUCCUACGGGAGGCAGCAGUGGGGAAUAUUGCACAAUGGGGGAAACCCUGAUGCAGCAACGCCGCGUGAGUGAUGACGGUCUUCGGAUUGUAAAGCUCUGUCUUUAGGGACGAUAAUGACGGUACCUAAGGAGGAAGCCACGGCUAACUACGUG
rnacentral:rRNA from 1 species